GACGAACGCUGGCGGCGUGCUUAACACAUGCAAGUCGAACGGUGAAGCGCCUUCCUUUUUGGUGGGUGUGGAUGAGUGGCGAACGGGUGGGUAACACGUGAGUAACCUGCCCCCUUCUUCUGGAUAACCGCAUGAAAGUGUGGCUAAUACGGGAUAUUCUGGGUCUGUCGCAUGAUGGGUCUGGGAAAGAUAUUGUUUCGGUGGGGGAUGGGCUCGCGGCCUAUCAGCUUGUUGGUGGGGUGAUGGCCUACCAAGGCGGUGACGGGUAGCCGGCCUGAGAGGGUGGACGGUCACACUGGGACUGAGACACGGCCCAGACUCCUACGGGAGGCAGCAGUGGGGAAUAUUGCACAAUGGGCGCAAGCCUGAUGCAGCGACGCCGCGUGAGGGGUGGAGGCCUUCGGGUUGUGAACCUCUUUCGCCAGUGAAGCAGGCCUGCCUCGUUUGUGGGUGGGUUGACGGUAGCUGGAUAAGAAGCGCCGGCUAACUACGUG
rnacentral:rRNA from 1 species